CCUACGGGUGGCAGCAGUGGGGGAUAUUGGACAAUGGGGGGAACCCUGAUCCAGCGACGCCGCGUGAGUGAAGAAGUAUUUCGGUAUGUAAAGCUCUGUCAGCAGGGAAGAAAGGAAUGACGGUACCUCACCAAUAAGCCCCGGCUAACUGCGUGCCAGCAGCCGCGGUAAUACGUAGGGGGCAAGCGUUAUACGGAAUUACUGGGUGUAAAGGGAGCGUAGACGGUUAAGUAAGUCUGGGUGGAAAGGCCGGGGCCCAACGUCGGAACUGCUCUGGAAACUAGUGAACUGGAGUGCGGGAGAGGUAAGAGGAAUUCGAGGUGUAGGAGUGAAAUGCGUAGAUAUCGGGAGGAACACUCGUGGCGAAGGCGGGUACCUGGACAUUAACUGACGCUGAGGCACGAAGGCGAGGGGAGCGAAAGGGAUUAGAUACCCUGGUAGUC
rnacentral:rRNA from 1 species